GGUGGCAGUGCAGGCGCGCGCAGCCUGCUUACUCGACCCUUCUCCGCGGCCCAGAGAAUGACGCGGGUGGGGGGUGGCCAGGUCAUAAGUUGGUUGUCAGCAGCCGCUGCGCCUAUUUCCAAUGGAUCCUCUCCCUGUAACACUUCGCUUCGGGUUCGCACCCAGUCUCGAACAGCACCAAAUCAGUUAAUUUCCCAUUAAACGGUUCAGUGUAGUUCGACGGCUAGUGUUCGUUUCUUGUUGUGUAUAAUACAUUUGAACUAGGAUUACGUAUUAAAACGCAACUAUAACUGGGAUGCAUUUUGAAAAGGUUACAUUUUUGUCGGGUUCGGGACCCCUCCACGUUACUCAGGGAAUCUGGGAUGCUGUACUUUGGGACAGUUGCGCCUUUAAUUUCUCUAUAAUUCUCCUAUGAGAAAUGGGUGUAGUACUUCUUGCGUGAAGUGCGAUAUUUUUCCAUUGCACCGUCGAAUUUAAAAACAGUGUACACCUUUUCGAAAUGGAUUAUAGCCACGAAGUUUGUGAAGUAAGUGAUGUAUUUUCAAACCAACAUAGGCAACGAACAGCAUCUUAGAUGUGGUUUAAAUUAUCACGUUAGCAAUCCCAGUUCGUUACCUUAUUGUUGCCAAUUGAGCGAUGACGUUAAACUGCGUAGUUUAUCGAUUUUUGUAUGGCAUCGGCAGCGUCGACUGUGUUGCGCCCCUCCUAGCGAACCGAACUACAAACAGCGGACUCACGAUGCACACAACUGCGAUAAUGCUCUAAAUUUGGAUUCACAUUCAUAUGUGUGUAUGCUACAACGAAUUUGUCGUGUGUGUUGAAUACAUUAUGUACAGAUUUUU